rnacentral:rRNA from 1 species
GACGAACGCUGGCGGCGUGCUUAACACAUGCAAGUCGAACGAAGUGGCGAACGGGUGAGUAAUGCGUAAUCAACCUGCCCUUCAGGGGGGGACACUAGUUGGAAACGACUGCUAAUACCGCAUACUGAAGGAGGGGAUUGUGUCUGAUUGGCUAGCUGGAGGGGUAACGGCCCACCAAGGCGAUGAGCAGUAGGCGGUCUGGGAGGAUGGACGGCCACAAUGGGACUGAGACACGGCCCAGACUCCUACGGGAGGCAGCAGUGGGGAAUCUUCCGCAAUGGACGAAAGUCUGACGGAGCAACGCCGCGUGAGUGAUGACGGCCUUCGGGUUGGAAAGCUCUGUUAAUCGGGACGCGGUACCGGAAUAGAAAGCAACGGCUAACUACGUGCCAGCAGCCGCGGUAAUUC